rnacentral:rRNA from 1 species
CAUGCAGUCGUGCGAGAAAGAUCUUCGGAUAUGAGUAGAGCGGCGGACGGGUGAGUAACGCGUAGGAAUCUACCUAGUAGAAGGGGAUAGCCCGGGGAAACCCGGAUUAAUACCGUAUACCUCCUUCGGGAGAAAGAAGGCCUCUCUUUGAAGCUUUCGCUACUAGAUGAGCCUGCGUAAGAUUAGCUUGUUGGUGAGGUAAAGGCUCACCAAGGCAACGAUCUUUAGCUGGUCUGAGAGGACGAUCAGCCACAUUGGGACUGAGACACGGCCCAGACUCCUACGGGAGGCAGCAGUGGGGAAUAUUGGACAAUGGGCGCAAGCCUGAUCCAGCCAUACCGCGUGUGUGAAGAAGGCCUUCGGGUUGUAAGGCACUUUAAGCAGGGAGAAAAAGUUAUAAGUUAAUACCUUAUAGCCUUGAUGUUACCUGCAGAAUAAGCACCGGCUAAUUCCGUGCCAGCAGCCGCGGUAAUACGGAAGGUGCAAGCGUUAAUCGGAAUUACUGGGCGUAAAGCGCGCGUAGGUGGUUUGUUAAGUUGGAUGUGAAAGCCCUGGGCUCAACCUAGGAACUGCAUCCAAAACUAACUCACUAGAGUACGAUAGAGGGAGGUAGAAUUCAUAGUGUAGCGGUGGAAUGCGUAGAUAUUAUGAAGAAUACCAGUGGCGAAGGCGGCCUCCUGGAUCUGUACUGACACUGAGGUGCGAAAGCGUGGGUAGCGAACAGGAUUAGAUACCCUGGUAGUCCCCGCCGUAACG